rnacentral:rRNA from 1 species
UACAGAGGGUGCAAGCGUUGUUCGGAAUUAUUGGGCGUAAAGCGCGUGUAGGCGGCUUUGCAAGUCGGGUGUGAAAGCCCUCGGCUCAACCGAGGAAGUGCGCCCGAAACUGCAGAGCUUGAGUACCGGAGAGGAUGGCGGAAUUCCCCAAGUAGAGGUGAAAUUCGUAGAUAUGGGGAGGAACACCGGUGGCGAAGGCGGCCAUCUGGACGGAUACUGACGCUGAGGGACGAAAGCUAGGGGAGCGAACGGG